rnacentral:rRNA from 1 species
UACGUAGGGUGCGAGCGUUAAUCGGAAUUACUGGGCGUAAAGCGUGCGCAGGCGGUCAUGCAAGACAGAUGUGAAAUCCCCGGGCUCAACCUGGGAACUGCAUUUGUGACUGCAUGGCUAGAGUACGGUAGAGGGGGAUGGAAUUCCGCGUGUAGCAGUGAAAUGCGUAGAUAUGCGGAGGAACACCGAUGGCGAAGGCAAUCCCCUGGACCUGUACUGACGCUCAUGCACGAAAGCGUGGGGAGCAAACAGG